AGAAUAUUCUCUCCGUCCGGAAAUACUUGUCAUCAAAAUGAAUAAAAAGGGAUGUAUCUAGAUGUAUUUUAGUUCUAGAUACAUCUUUUUUGUCCAUUUUGAUGACAAGUAUUUUCGGACGGAGGGAGUACUAG
rnacentral:pre_miRNA from 1 species